CAGCAUUAAAGCCCCGUGGCCUGCACUGUUCUGGGAGCUCCUUCUGCAGGUCCGCGGCCAGGAAGUCCUGGCGACAUUAGCACUUCGGCUGAAAUCCGCCUUCCAGGAAGCGGCUCUGACCACCCCGCCAGAGGGACGGCCAGCCUUGCUGGGUCCCAGUGCACCGUCUACCACGGAGCUGCGGUCGCCGCACUGUGUGCUGACCGACCAACCAGAGUGGGUCACCGUGGCCCACCACACUAGCAAGGUGGAGACAGCAAAAGUGUGCGUCUAGUGUGGAGGGCUACAAACUACACUUUUCUGGCCCCCAGGGCAACAGUUUCCUGGACAUGUGGAAAGAUGGAUGUGUGGAUGGAGAGGUGACACACGCGCGGACGGAGAGGUGGACGUGUAGAUGGAGAGGUGGACAUGCCGGUGGAGAGGUGGAGGAUGAGGUCCAGAGAGCCUGGGACAG
rnacentral:lncRNA from 1 species